CCCCUACUCCUACGGGAGGCAGCAGUAGGGAAUCUUCCGCAAUGGACGAAAGUCUGACGGAGCAACGCCGCGUGAGUGAUGAAGGCUUUCGGGUCGUAAAACUCUGUUGUUAGGGAAGAACAAGUGCUAGUUGAAUAAGCUGGCACCUUGACGGUACCUAACCCGAAGCCCGUUGCUAACUACGUGCCAGCAGCCGCGGUAAUAAA
rnacentral:rRNA from 1 species